CUUCCGUAGGUGAACCUGCGGAAGGAUCAUUACUGUGAUUUACUACUACACUGCGUGAGCGGAACGAAAACAACAACACCUAAAAUGUGGAAUAUAGCAUAUAGUCGACAAGAGAAAUCUACGAAAAAACAAACAAAACUUUCAACAACGGAUCUCUUGGUUCUCGCAUCGAUGAAGAGCGCAGCGAAAUGCGAUACCUAGUGUGAAUUGCAGCCAUCGUGAAUCAUCGAGUUCUUGAACGCACAUUGCGCCCCUCGGCAUUCCGGGGGGCAUGCCUGUUUGAGCGUCGUUUCCAUCUUGCGCGUGCGCAGAGUUGGGGGAGCGGAGCGGACGACGUGUAAAGAGCGUCGGAGCUGCGACUCGCCUGAAAGGGAGCGAAGCUGGCCGAGCGAACUAGACUUUUUUUCAGGGACGCUUGGCGGCCGAGAGCGAGUGUUGCGAGACAACAAAAAGCUCGACCUCAAAUCAGGUAGGAAUACCCGCUGAACUUAAGCAUAUCUU
rnacentral:rRNA from 1 species